rnacentral:rRNA from 1 species
CAGUCGCCACGGUAAUACGAAGGGGGCUAGCGUUGUUCGGAAUUACUGGGCGUAAAGCGCACGUAGGCGGAUAUUUAAGUCAGGGGUGAAAUCCCGCAGCUCAACUGCGGAACUGCCUUUGAUACUGGGUAUCUUGAGUAUGGAAGAGGUUAGUGGAAUUGCGAGUGUAGAGGUGAAAUUCGUAGAUAUUCGCAGGAACACCAGUGGCGAAGGCGGCUAACUGGUCCAUAACUGACGCUGAGGUGCGAAAGCGUGGGGAGCAAACAGGAUUAGAUACCCCGGUAGUCCCUGUCUCUUAUAC